AGGAAUAUUGGUCAAUGGGCGAGAGCCUGAACCAGCCAAGUAGCGUGCAGGAUGACGGCCCUAUGGGUUGUAAACUGCUUUUAUAAGGGAAUAAAGUGAGAGUCGUGACUCUUUUUGCAUGUACCUUAUGAAUAAGGACCGGCUAAUUCCGUGCCAGCAGCCGCGGUAAUACGGAAGGUCCGGGCGUUAUCCGGAUUUAUUGGGUUUAAAGGGAGCGUAGGCCGGAGAUUAAGCGUGUUGUGAAAUGUAGGCGCUCAACGUCUGCACUGCAGCGCGAACUGGUUUCCUUGAGUACGCACAAAGUGGGCGGAAUUCGUGGUGUAGCGGUGAAAUGCUUAGAUAUCACGAAGAACUCCGAUUGCGAAGGCAGCUCACUGGAGCGCAACUGACGCUGAAGCUCGAAAGUGCGGGUAUCGAACAGGAUUAGAUACCCUGGUAGUCCGCACGGUAAACGAUGGAUGCCCGCUGUUGGUCUGAACAGGUCAGCGGCCAAGCGAAAGCAUUAAGCAUCCCACCUGGGGAGUACGCCGGCAACGGUGAAACUCAAAGGAAUUGACGGGGGCCCGCACAAGCGGAGGAACAUGUGGUUUAAUUCGAUGAUACGCGAGGAACCUUACCCGGGCUUGAAUUGCAGAGGAAGGAUUUGGAGACAAUGACGCCCUUCGGGGUCUCUGUGAAGGUGCUGCAUGGUUGUCGUCAGCUCGUGCCGUGAGGUGUCGGCUUAAGUGCCAUAACGAGCGCAACCCCUCUCCUUAGUUGCCAUCAGGUCAAGCUGGGCACUCUGGGGACACUGCCACCGUAAGGUGUGAGGAAGGUGGGGAUGACGUCAAAUCAGCACGGCCCUUACGUCCGGGGCUACACACGUGUUACAAUGGCAGGUACAGAGAGAUGGUGUUCUGCAAAGCGCAUCAAAUCCUUAAAGCCUGUCUCAGUUCGGACUGGGGUCUGCAACCCGACCCCAGGAAGCGGGAUUCGCUAGUAAUCGCGCAUCAGCCAUGGCGCGGGGAAUACGUUCCCG
rnacentral:rRNA from 1 species